rnacentral:tRNA from 2 species
AGCCCUGAGGUGUUUUACAUAUUAGAUUGCAAAUCUAAAGAAGCAGGCUAAUCACCUGCCGGGGCUU